rnacentral:rRNA from 1 species
AGUACGUGAAACUGCUUAGAGGUUAAACCCGAUGAACCUGAAUAUCCAUUAUGGAAAAUUCAUCACUAAUAAUAUGAUAUUAAUAAUAUUAUAAAAAUAGUGUGCAAUUUUUCCAUAUAAGGACAUUGUAAUCUGUUAAUGUAAUAAAUAUUUAUCAUAAGAUCCAUUACUUAAGUUUAUUAAAAAUUAGUUAUUUUCGGAUUUCUAAAAUAUAAUAAAUGUUUUGGAUUUGAUAAAUCAUUGACAGAUAUAAUUAUAUAAUGUGCUGAAAUUCUCUUUUGAAUUUUAUAAUGGUAGAUAAAUCUUUUGAUUUAUUUAUUUAAUUAUAUGCGCUAUUAUGAUUAACAAUGCGAUAGAUUCAGGAUACCUUCGGGACCCGUCUUGAAACACGGACCAAGGAGUCUAACAUAUGUGCAAGUCAUUGAGUAUUUUUAAUAAAACUUAAUGGCGUAAUUAACUUAACUUUUAAUGGGAUUAAUUUAUGUUUUUAUAAAAAAUAUAUAAUACAAUCCCGGGGCGUUCUAUAUAGUUAUGUAUAAUAAUAUUUAUAUUAUUUAUACCUCUAACUAGAGCGUACCUUGAGC